rnacentral:rRNA from 1 species
GCACUGUAUGCCUAGUACGGCGAGUGAAGCGGCAACAGCUCAAAUUUGAAAGCUAGCCUUCGGGUUCGCAUUGUAAUUUGUAGAGGAUGCUUUGGGUAAAACGCCAGUCUAAGUUCCUUGGAACAGGACGUCAUAGAGGGUGAGAAUCCCGUAUGUGACUGGAAAUGUUAACCUAUGUAAAGCUCCUUCGACGAGUCGAGUUGUUUGGGAAUGCAGCUCUAAAUGGGAGGUAAAUUUCUUCUAAAGCUAAAUAUUGGCGAGAGACCGAUAGCGCACAAGUAGAGUGAUCGAAAGAUGAAAAGCACUUUGGAAAGAGAGUUAAAAAGCACGUGAAAUUGUUGAAAGGGAAGCGCUUGCAAUCAGACUUGUUUAAACUGUUCGGCCGGUCUUCUGACCGGUUUACUCAGUUUGGACAGGCCAGCAUCAGUUUCGGCGGCCGGAUAAAGGCAUUGGGAAUGUGGCCUUCACUUCGGUGGAGGUGUUAUAGCCCAGUGUGUAAUACGGCCAGCCGGGACUGAGGUCCGCGCUUCGGCUAGGAUGCUGGCGUAAUGGUUGUAAGCGACCCGUCUA